rnacentral:rRNA from 1 species
AUUGAACGCUGGCGGCAGGCCUAACACAUGCAAGUCGAACGAGUGGCGGACGGGUGAGUAAUGUCUGGGAAACUGCCCGAUGGAGGGGGAUAACUACUGGAAACGGUCGCUAAUACCGCAUCCCAUCGGAUGUGCCCAGAUGGGAUUAGCUAGUAGGUGGGGUAAAGGAUCACCUAGGCGGCGAUCCCUAGCUGGUCUGAGAGGAUGACCAGCCACACGGGAACUGAGACACGGUCCAGACUCAUACGGGAGGAAGCAGUGGGGAAUAUUGCACAAUGGGCGCAAGCCUGAUGCAGCCAUGCCGCGUGUAUGAAGAAGGCCUUCGGGUUGUAAAGGACUUUCAGUGGGGAGGCGUUACCCGCAGAAGAAGCACCGGCUAACUCCGUGCCAGCAGCCGCGGUAAUAC